rnacentral:tRNA from 1 species
GGGCCGGUAGCCCAGCCUGGAAGAGCGCUCGGCUUGCAACCGAGAGGUCCCGGGUUCAAAUCCCGGCCGGUCCA